UACGUAGGGGGCAAGCGUUGUCCGGAUUUAUUGGGCGUAAAGAGCUCGUAGGCGGUUUGGUAAGUCGGAUGUGAAAUCUCCAGGCUCAACUUGGAGGGGUCAUUCGGUACUGCCAUGACUAGAGUUCGGUAGGGGAGUGUGGAAUUCCUGGUGGAGCGGUGAAAUGCGCAGAUAUCAUUUGGAACGCCAAUGGUGAAAACAGGUAGCUGGGGCUGUGCUGACACUGAGACACGAAAGCCAGGGGAGCAAACGGG
rnacentral:rRNA from 1 species